rnacentral:tRNA from 1 species
ACCCGGUUAGCUCAAUUGGUCAGAGCGUUGGACUGUUAGUAACCCCACUUCAAUCACAGUCUUUCAUCUCAAGCUAACCACUUCUACAGUUUAUGGUAACACAUAUCUCAUCCAAAGGCUACGAGUUCGACCCUCGUACUGGGUG